GUUUGGUGUUAAACAAACCGGAGUCUCCGUUUCCACGGAUAAAUGUGUCCCCACACUUCCUCUUCCGCUGGCCAUUUCCACAUUCUUCUGUCUGCUCCAGGGCUGUAUUCAGGUAGCCACCCAGGCAAGCCAGGACCCCGCGCUAACCCGCUCCAGAAUUUGAUUUUACAACUGGUCGCUUUAAGAAGUUGCUGGGGGUUGCUUCCGCAGACUCACUUUAACAAUCUUGGGAGGCAGGAAACCUGAGUUCUACCCCAGCUCUGCUCUGAAUUAGCUGUGACUGGGAUAACUCAUCAUCUCACCUCUCAAGGCCCCGCUUUCUCAUCUCUCGGGGGGAUCCUGAACCCCCAUUCCAGGAGCCCCAAGCCCCGCUCCAGGGACCAUCGCAGCGCAAACAGAAACCGUGGAGGAAGCGCCUGGUGUCAUUGAGGUCCUCGUCCUAGGUAAAGUUACAAUCAGAGAGAGGGAGAGACAGAGAAUCUUCCAUCCACUGGUUCACGUCCCAAAUGGCUGUAAUGGCUGGAGCUGAGCCCAUCUGAAGUCAGGAGCCAGGAGCUUCUUCCGGACCUCCCAUGCAGGUGCAGGGGCCCAAGGACUUGGGCCAUCUUCUACUGCUUUCUCAGGCCAUCAUCAGGGGGCUGGAUCAGAAAAGGAGCAGCUGGGACACAAACUGGCACCCACAUGGGAUGUCAGCACCACAGCAGGCACAGCCUACCACGCCACAACACCGGCCCCCACAAUACCACUUUUACAGGGUGGUCCGAACAAGGCGUGUGGCUCCCCAUCUGUCUGCCGAGGUUCUGGGAUUCCAGGGUGAGGGGAGGCGCGGUGUGUUCCCCCUUCUUCCUUGCUUGUGUAGCCCUUGUUGAUGGAUAGACAUUACUGUGUGUGAUGAAUUAUUAAUGGAAGAAGCUGUGCGGACAUAAAUAUUCAAGGGGUGCAUCUGGUUUCCCAAUGCUUUAUGUAAGGCAGAAAAAAUACAUUUUUAUUGAGCAGAACAACUUGUCAACCCCAAAUCUCUUGCUUACCUGGACCCAAGCGUUACAAGAAGGAAAAAGCGUCUUUUGACGUGUCACAUGAAGUUCCUGCUGAGCCCCACUGGUGUGUGUGUCGUGUGCAGCAGUUUGGCCUGGAACAGACAGUGUGAACCAAUAAAGCCACCAAACUCCCUUCACCGGAUGUGAGGCUCUCUGCGGCCAUUGGGUAGGGAGGGGACUUUGCCACAGCAUCAUCAUACAGGAGAAAAUUGCAGCCUUAGAAAAGGGGGCCAGCGCUUGGGUCAGCAGGUUAAAGCCCUGCCCUGAAGCAAAAGCGUCCCACAUGGGUGCCGGUUCUAGUCCCGGCUGCUCCUCUUCUGAUCCAGCUCUCUUCUGGGGCCUGGGAAAGCAGUAGAAGAUGGCCCAAGUCCUUGGGCCCCUGCACCCACAGGGGAGACCCAGAAGAAGGUCCUGACACCUGGCUUCAGAUCAGUGCAGCUCUGCCUGCUUCAGCCAUCUGGGGAAUGAACCAGCAGAUGGAAGACCUCUCUCUGUGUGUCUCUUACCUUUCUCUGUAACUCUGUCUUUCAAAUAAUAAAAUAUAUCUUAAAAAAAGAAAAGGACAAAGGAGGAGGAAGUGCACCUAAGGCACUCUUGAGAAGAGCAGGGCCCAUAGGGCUGGGGGACUUGGGAGCCACCAGGGCUCGUCCAGGUGACCCCUCCCAGAGUUUCUCACUCAGGAAAUACCAAAAAUUGUCCAGAGGUGAGUGCUUCAUCUUCAGGGCACGUCUGCUUCUAAUGCUCGCAUCAGAAGCCGAUGGUCUAAGAAGCAGUUACAGGAGCAGAAGAGGCCACUCCUGCUCAGCUGAGCCUCGGGUGCGUCCUCCACGGAACCCGUGCAGUGCUGCUCACCUGCCGUGCCCCUCCGUGAGGACCCUUACAAAUGGAGCGUUUCUUAAACCAGCCCUGCUCCAGGUGUGUUGCAUACAACCCCAGUUCCAAGGAAUGCUGAUAGAAAGAUCUGGAAAAGUCACAGUGAAUUCCAGUGAAGCCUAACAAGUAUGUAAGUAGGUAUCCUGGGUUGUAGAACACAGAACUUGUAAAAACAAAGCAAAACGAAAACCCCCAUUGGAAGGCAAGUGACUGAAAUUGAGAAGAGAGGGCUUUCUGUGGGGAAGAGAAGAGAGGAAUGGAUGAGAUGGAGGGGGC